rnacentral:rRNA from 1 species
AUACGGAGGAUCCGAGCGUUAUCCGGAUUUAUUGGGUUUAAAGGGUGCGCAGGCGGCCAUUUAAGUCAGCGGUUAAAUCGUGGGGCUCAACCCCAUUCUGCCGUUGAUACUGGGUGGCUUGAUUGCGGUCGAGGUUGGCGGAAUUCGUUGUGCAGCGGUGAAAUGCAUAGAUAUGACGAAGAACACCGAUUGCGUAGGCAGCUGACCAGACCGCAAAUGACGCUCAUGCACGAAAGUGCGGGGAUCGAACAGGAUUAGAUACCCUGGUAGUCCGCACAGUAAACGAUGAAUACUUGUUUUCGGCGAUAUAAUGUCGGAGGCAAAGCGAAAGCGAUAAGUAUUCCACCUGGGGAGUACGCCGGCAACGGUGAAACUCAAAUGAAUUGGCGGGG